UAGAUGCGAGAGUAGAGCAUAUCAAUAAGCGGAGGAAAAGAAACUAACAAGGAUUCCCUUAGUAACGGCGAGUGAAGCGGGAAGAGCUCAAAUUUGAAAUCUUCAAGGGUUCUACCUUGACGAAUUGUAGUUUAUAGAAGUGUUUUCUGUUAGUGGAGUGGCAAAAGGUUCUUUGGAAUAGGACAUCAUAGAGGGUAGAGAAUCCCGUAUUUGGUCAUUCCUCCUAGCGUUGUGAUACACUUUCAACGAGUCGGAUUGUUUGGGAAUGCAGUCCAAAAUGGGUGGUAAAUUUCAUCUAAAGCUAAAUAUUGGCGAGAGACCGAUAGCGAACAAGUACCGUGAGGGAAAGAUGAAAAGAACUUUGAAAAGAGAGUUAAACAGUACGUGAAAUUGUCAAAAGGGAAGCGUUUGACACCAGUGUUGUUUUUCCGAAAAUCAAUUACGAAUGUUUUAUUUUUGAGGAGUUAUGACUUCAUCGGCUUGCUCCUUUCUUUAUGAAACUUUCUUAAUGCACUUUUCGGUUAACAAGUCAACAUCAAUUUCUUUUGUUGUAAAAGGGUAUGAGGAAGGUGGCUUUCUUUUCGGAGAAAGUGUUUAUAGCCUUGUGCCUCUGCAAUCGGAGAGAUUGAGGUCUGCAGCGUAGAUCCUUCGGGGUUAGAUACAUUUGUGCUAAGUUAUAGCUUUUCAUAGACAACUUGUUGACUAUGUUUAGUCUUGUAGCUUACUCGCUGAUGCUAUUUUACCUACGCUUAGGAUGUUGACGAGACUGUCGAUCUC
rnacentral:rRNA from 1 species